rnacentral:rRNA from 1 species
UACGGAGGGUGCAAGCGUUGUCCGGAUUUAUUGGGUUUAAAGGGUGCGUAGGCGGCUGAUUAAGUCAGUGGUGAAAGGCAGCAGCUUAACUGUUAGCACGGCCAUUGAUACUGGUUAGCUUGAGUACAGUCGAGGUAGGCGGAAUUGAAGGUGUAGCGGUGAAAUGCAUAGAUAUCUUCAAGAACACCUAUUGCGAAGGCAGCUUACUAGGCUGUAACUGACGCUGAUGCACGAAAGCGUGGGGAGCGAACAGG